rnacentral:rRNA from 1 species
CCUACGGGAGGCAGCAGUGGGGAAUAUUGGGCAAUGGGCGCAAGCCUGAACCAGCAACGCCGCGUGAAGGAAGAAGGCUUUCGGGUUGUAAACUUCUUUUGACAGGGAAGAGGAGAAGACGGUACCUGACGAAUAAGCCACGGCUAACUACGGGCCAGCAGCCGCGGUAAUACGUAGGUGGCAAGCGUUGUCCGGAUUUACUGGGUGUAAAGGGCGUGUAGCCGGGUUGACAAGUCAGAUGUGAAAUCCUGCGGCUUAACCGCAGAACUGCUUUUGAAACUGUUGAUCUUGAGUCCUGGAGAGGGAGAUGGAAGUCCUGGUGUAGCGGUGAAAUGCGUAGAUAGUAGGAGGAACACCAGGGGCGAAGGCGGUCUGCUGGACAGCAACUGACGGUGAGGCGCGAAAGCGUGGGGAGCAAACAGGAUUAGAUACCCCAGUAGUC